CCGCAGUGUUGACUUAGGUUUUAGGCUAGCUUUCCCAGCCUAUGUCCGCGUGCCAGAGGAGGCCAGCUGGUCUCAUCACUGCUCGUCUGGGAGAACGUACUCAGCUUGGACCUUCGGGUGACCAUGCUGAAGGAGAGCCCAGAGCAUCAUGAUAAAGCAACUGAGCAGCUGCUGAGGAGGUUCGGGAGAGGUGGCUCCGUAGGGGCUCCUGUGGUUUGCUCCCAGAAACUGCGACAAUGACACAUUCAUCAGUGGCUGUUUUGUAGCCCUCACCUGGCAUCUUUGGCAGAGAUGGAUUCCCCUACUCAGUGAGUGAGGGACUCUGAGGAGGUUGGCCUAGAAGAAGGAAAGAGGGAGGGGACAGACAGAGAGGGGAUCAAUCGGGAAUCUCGCCUCUUCUUGGUCUUGCCCUCUUCUCCCCUUGUCACAGAUCUGUGCAAGUCAUCAAGUCUCCAGUGUCACGAAUAACUGGUUUCUGUGCAAAACUCUAUGUUGGGAGGGCUGCAUCUGGGUGAGAAUGCAUUACACCUGGAUUUCUGAAUCUGCAAAUUGAGAACAAUAGCAAUCCGUACUUCACCCGGUUAUUUUGCAAAUACAACAUAGGCG
rnacentral:lncRNA from 1 species